rnacentral:lncRNA from 1 species
CUCAGAGAUAUGAAAACUUACACAGACUGCCUUCAAACCCAGGGUAUCUAACAGAUGUUCCCUUUCCAGUUCGUCUCUUGAUCUGAAAUGCCUGCCUGAUUCCAACUUGGAUACCACUCUUUCUUGCCCUUCCUUUUUCAAAGCAGUUUGGACAUGUGUGCAAGUGAGCCCAGAACAGCUCCACCCAUAUUCUUUACCAAACUGUAAAUAAAAGAAGAACUAAUGAAGUAGAUUGGCAUAUAGAUUGCAUCAAGAGCCCGAAUCCCCAGUUUCUGGAUUCCCCAUUCAACUCUGGCUGUCAUCUACAUUGACAGAGUCAUUCUAAGCAGAGGCCCAGAGAAACCUGCAUUGUGGGACAACAGUUUUAGGAAGCAUAGGAGGAGAAUGAAAGAAUCAAUCCAGUCUCCUGUUUUCUGGUAAAAACUCUCAUACCUGUGCUGUUGCAAGAAUUCAAGACUAUCUCGUCCAGAAUGCUGUGGUAUUUUUGAAAGGUACAUAUAUCAUAUUCCUUUUCCUCAUACUCCACCCUUUCUGAAUCCACAAGAAUGUGUUAUUGAAUACAGAGAAAACAAUUUAAGAAAGGAAAAGGAAUGACCUGCCUAAAAUGAGGAAAAAGCAGAGUCGAGGUCUAGGAUUGUGGCUCAACAAGAUGAUUCAGUUACUUUCUGGUUAUAAGCAGAUACCUGAAAAUUGUGAAAUUGAUAUAAACCCAGAUCUUCAAAGCAACUGAUGACCAAGGGGACUGUGAUAUAAUAGCCACAUAUUCUUUACCAGUGUUAGGUUUUAGUUAAUAAACAUUACUAUGGAG